rnacentral:rRNA from 1 species
GUCCACGCAGUAAACGAUGAGUGCUAGUUGUCGGGCUUUGGGCUUCGGUGGCGAAGUUAACACGAUAAGCACUCCGCCUGGGGACUACGGUCGCAAGACUAAAACUCAAAGGAAUUGACGGGACCCGCACAAGCAGUGGAGCAUGUGGUUUAAUUCGAUGCUACGCGAAAACCUUACCAACCCUUGACAUCUGGAUGACCGGUACAGAGAUGUGCUUUUGGAGCAAUCCACAUCCAAGACAGGUGUUGCAUGGCUGUCGU